GACGAACGCUGGCGGCGUGCCUAAUACAUGCAAGUAGAACGCUGAAGGAGGAGCUUGCUUCUCUGGAUGAGUUGCGAACGGGUGAGUAACGCGUAGGUAACCUGCCUGGUAGCGGGGGAUAACUAUUGGAAACGAUAGCUAAUACCGCAUAACAGUAGAUAUCGCAUGAUAUCUACUUGAAAGGUGCAAUUGCAUCACUACCAGAUGGACCUGCGUUGUAUUAGCUAGUUGGUGAGGUAACGGCUCACCAAGGCGACGAUACAUAGCCGGCCUGAGAGGGUGAUCGGCCACACUGGGACUGAGACACGGCCCAGACUCCUACGGGAGGCAGCAGUAGGGGAUCUUCGGCAAUGGACGGAAGUCUGAACGAGCAACGCCGCGUGAGUGAAGAAGGUUUUCGGAUCGUAAAGCUCUGUUGUAAGGGAAGAACGAGUGUGAGAGUGGAAAGUGCACACUGUGACGGUAUCUUACCAGAAAGGGACGGCUAACUACGUG
rnacentral:rRNA from 1 species